rnacentral:misc_RNA from 1 species
CUUCUCUUCUUCGUCUCAUCCAUACUCCACCAUUUACAGUCCACACUCACUCCACCGACAUUAACUUGUUCCCAGAGGCCACUGGAGCCUGGAGCAGCUUAAUGGAUCCCAGAAGAGAAAGAAGAUUCUCCCGAACCAAGCUUAAGGCAGACUUAGCGGCAGUUCUUCGAAAAUCAUGGUACCAUUUGAGGUUGUCCGUCAGACAUCCGUCUAGAGUCCCCACUUGGGAUGCAAUUGUCCUCACGGCUGCUAGCCCCGAGCAAGCCCAGCUAUACGACUGGCAGCUCAAGCGCGCCAAGCGUAUAGGCCGGAUCGCUCCCUCCACCGUCACUCUUGCCGUGCCCGACCCCAACGGCCAGCGGAUCGGCUCUGGUGCCGCCACUCUUAAUGCCAUUAAUGCCCUCGCUCGCCAUUAUCAGAUGCUAGGGCUCGAUCUUGGCCCAGAGGUGGCAAACACAG